GUCUACAGCCAUGCCACCCUGAACGUGCCCGAUCUCGUCUGACCUCGGAAGCUAAGCAGGGUUGGGCCUGGUUAGUACUUGGAUAGGAGACCACCUAGGAAUACCAGGUGCUAUAGGUG
rnacentral:rRNA from 1 species